AUGAAGGAUGUGGGCCCAGAAUUACUUGACCAGCCCACUCCUGCUGGCUCUCACCAGCCUUGGAGCCUGGGCUAGGGAAGGCCUCCCAGCAUCUGGGACUAAAGAAUGGGCAGCCCCUCUGCCUCCUGGAGCCGAACUGAGUGUCUUCUUAGCUCUACCGGGAGGAAAGCUGCCUGUUUCCUCCCCACAUCCCCCGCUGCCUGGCGUGGUCCCAGAGCCCUCUGUCUACUUGGGAGACCGGGGACCACAGGCCUUAGGGAUACAGGAGGUCCCCUUCUCUUGCCACCCCCACCCUCCUCCAGGACACCACUAGGUGGCGCCAGAUGCUUGUUCUUUGGCCAGCCAAGGUUCAAGGUGAUUCUCCUGAUGGGAUCUUGAGGGACCAAGCUGCUGGGAUUGGGAUUGGGAAGGGAUUUCACUCUGAUCAUUGCCAGGUUCCCAGGAGGCCUCACCACACUCCCCUUCAGGGCCAGGGCCCCAGCAAGCCCAGGGCAAGGAUCCCUUGCUGAGGUCUGGUUGAGAGCCUGCCACCCUGUGUCGGGAGUGUGGGCCAGGCCGAGUGCAUAGCUGACCUGUGGUAAGCAUGGGCUUGGGUGUGUGUGAGCUCAGGCCUACGUGUGCAGCAUGAAGAGGGGUGUUGCGGGGUACGAGGUGUGGUUUCAAAGUGUGUGUGUGUAGGGUGCGGGUGGGUUAGCUGGGUUAGGGGAACAUGCAUGUGAGCGUGCUUGUGGGCAUGUGAGAGAGGCGAGUGUGACUGCAGGUGAAUGUGCCCUCAGUUGAGAGGUUGAAGAGGAUGAGGGAAUCAUGUCACCAUCAGUAAUCACUGUGGAGCACCAGCUCUGCCCAAGGCCCCAGCCAGGCAGACAGCCAGGACCUCUGCACAGCCAGGCUGCCUGUGUGUGUGUUCCCUGUCCCACGCCCCCUGCACACCUCGCAGGGCCUCCACACAGCAACCAGCCCCUAGGGGGCAGAGAAAGGAAAAUGGGGAUGCCUGGGGCUCUCUCCAGCCUCUGUAUCUCCUUGCCUUGGCAUGGUUGACCUCCCCUCCAAAAGCCCCUUUCCCCUGCUGCCUGACCCUUUGCAUCGCCUGGACUUUGGGGAGGAGGAAGGGAUUGAGGGAGAAGGGGUGAAAGCUUGUGGCUGGGUCUGGUUUCUGCCCUCCCCAGAGGGUCUUACUGUUCCAGGGUGGCCCCCCGGGCGAGCAGGAGCCACACUGUGCGGACACCCUGGUAAAGGUGACCCCUGCCAGUUGCCAGCAGCCCUGGCAUGUUCCUGCCCCACAGGGAUAGGAUAGAGUGAGUGCCAGAAACUUUCCAUGCCAAAGGCAGUGUCCGUGGUUGAAGCAGACUGGAUUUUUGCUCUGCUCCUGACCCCUGGUUCCUCUUUAGGGGAGGGGAGCUAUGCUAGGACUCCAGCCUCAGGGACUUGGGUAGCCUGUGCUAGGUUCUUUUGAUACUAAAAACUGUUUUAAGGUGGGAGGGUAGCAAGGGACGUGGUUAAUAAAUCAUUUUCAGCCUCA